GGUUCAGAUGUGUAUACCAUCCAGCUGGUGUCAGCUAUCUCAGGGUUGUGUCCCUGGGGCAGCCUCUGGGAGUGGGGCACGUCUUCUCAAUGAGAUUCUCCUAACACCAGUAUUUCUCGAAUACCGGCUACAUCCCGGGCUGGGCAUUAGUCCCCCACAGAGUCAUUAUCUACGUGUAAGUGGGUAUUAGAGAAUAUACGCGUGGAUGGGAAAAGCAGCCAAGCCUUUCCUCUUUGGUUUAUGACUGUUUCUGUGUCUAGAUUCCUGGCUCAAGCUCAGGGACCAUGUCCUGUCAUCCAGCAACUACCUCGGUGCUUGGUACUUGGCGGACACAUAGUAAACAGGCAGCAAGAGAUCUGGGGUUCCCUCUGCUGGCAGACUUCCCGGAGACCUUCCAGCCCAGGUAUGCGGAUACAGAAAUUCUCAACAGGACUGAGCCAGCAAGAUUGAGUCUGAGGGCAAAGCUUAGGAUGGUUGGAAGCCAGGAGCUGGCCCAGGUUGAGAAAGGCAGGCCUGCCAAGACGAACAGCAGAAAUCAACUACCCAAGGAAAGAAUGGAAGUCAAGGAGCUGUCAGAAACCGGGGAAGCGGUAGGCAUCAGUAGGCCUAUAGGAUAAGACUAUGCAGUUAAAUGCCUGUAAGGGUCCAACUGGUAAGUGAAAUGAGGUCAGAGAGUAGGGUGUAAGACAGUAGGGAGUGGUGUCAAACAGGAAGCUAAGUGCCUCUGUCUGAAGAAUCCUCAGAUCCAUUGAUUUGUGGCCAUGAAAGGAGGCAGGUCCAGUAUUACCAGAUCUUCUCAUUUUUAAAGAAAAUUGUACAGUCUUUACUUUUUACUUGAAACAUCCCAGUUUAAAACAUUGGACAAGUCAACGAACUAUGGGGGGGCGGGUAUAUGACAAAGUCUAUGGCCUGUACAAAAUCAAAUGUCAA
rnacentral:lncRNA from 12 species